GGAUUAGAUACCCUGGUAGUCCACGCCCUAAACGAUGAAUGUUAGAUGUCGGUUUUUUUAAAAAUCGGUGUUGCAGCUAACGCGUUAAACAUUCCGCCUGGGGAGUACGGUCGCAAGAUUAAAACUCAAAGGAAUUGACGGGGACCCGCACAAGCGGUGGAUUAUGUGGUUUAAUUCGAAGAUACGCGCAGAACCUUACCCGUUCUUGACAUGGUCUUUUUGAGGUCUGGAAACAGACUUCUUCAGUUCGGCUGGGAGAUCACAGGUGCUGCAUGGCUGUCGUCAGCUCGUGCCG
rnacentral:rRNA from 1 species